CCUACGGGUGACAGCAGUGGGGAAUAUUGCACAAUGGGGGAAACCCUGAUGCAGCGACGCCGCGUGAGUGAAGAAGUAAUUCGUUAUGUAAAGCUCUAUCAGCAGGGAAGAAAAUGACGGUACCUGAGUAAGAAGCCCCGGCUAACUACGUGCCAGCAGCCGCGGUAAUACGUAGGGGGCAAGCGUUAUCCGGAUUGACUGGGUGGAAAGGGAGCGUAGACGGCAGUGCAAGUCUGGAGUGAAAGGCGGGGGCUCAACCCCCGGACUGCUCUGGAAACUGUACGGCUGGAGUGCAGGAGAGGUAAGUGGAAUUCCUAGUGUAGCGGUGAAAUGCGUAGAUAUUAGGAGGAACACCAGUGGCGAAGGCGGCUUACUGGACUGUAACUGACGGUGAGGCUCGAAAGCGUGGGGAGCAAACAGGAUUAGAUACCCUUGUAGUC
rnacentral:rRNA from 1 species